UAAUGGUUGAGAACAUGCCCUGAGGUGGGGAAUAACAGUUGGAAACGACUGCUAAUACCGCAUGGUAUCGCAAGAUUAAAGGUGGGGACCGCAAGGCCUACCGCCACAGGAUUGGCUCAACUCCCAUUAGCUAGUUGGUAGGGUAAUGGCCUACCAAGGCAACGAUGGGUAUGUGGUCUUAGAGGAUGAUCACACACACUGGAACUGAGACACGGCCCAG
rnacentral:rRNA from 1 species